CGUGACCUAAACCUAGCCAUCGCUUAAAACACUCACUCUGCACUCUCUACUCUCGAAGAAACCCACUCCCAGCACCUUCCAGCCCGCGUGAACCCACUUCCUUCUAGCACCUCCCAGUGUCGGCAAAUCCCUUCCUUCCAUCAUCUCCCAACACCGCCAAACCCUUCCUCCUAGCACCUCCUUGCGGACAGCACCACCCUUGCGGACACUGCACCACCCCCGCUGCCAUCCACAGCACCAUUUCUAGCUUCGCAAACAGCACAGCCCAGCCACCCACAACAUCAUUUAUGGCCUCACGGAAAGCAACCCAGCCACCGAGUCAAGUCAGAUAUGGAGCCUCUGAGUCAGGUUUUCUCCGAAUUAUGUAGUUUUGGAGUUCAAAACAAAUUCAAGCAUUACGUUCCUUCUAUUCGAACUGAUUACCUCCAGUUUGGUAUCAUGCUUCACCAAUGGAAAAUGAUGAUAAUAAGAGACUGAGGUAGUGUUCAUUGACUGCAUUCCUAUUAUGUACGAGUGACCUAAUGUGUUGAGAAAUACAGUUCUUUGUGGUUUUAUUGUUUGUUUCUUUCUUUUUUGCUUUUGAUUGUUGUUCAUUUGAUGUUGUGGCUUUGUUUCUGAAAUAGUGUGGUAGUUUUUUUUUUUUAAUUGAUUAAAAAAACGGAACAAACCAAAGCAAACCAAACCAAUUUUAAUUGGUUUGAUUUGGUUCAGAUGUUCUUGUAAAAAAAACGAAUCAAACCAAACUGUAAUGUAACUAAACAAUUGGAUCGGAUGACUUUUCUCUAAAAAAAUGAACCAAACCGCACUGCGAACACCCCUACUAGGAGGAAGGGUUCAGUGGCGCUGGGAGGUGGUGGAAGGAAGGGGUUUGCGUGGGCUGGGAGUGGGAAGUGCUGGCUGUUAGGAGAGUGGGAGGCCGAGUGAGUUUCAAGAGGUGAGAGUGCAGAGAGAGUGAGUAUUGGCGGCUAGGUUAGGUCAAGUUGGCGGGGGAGCGAAGAGUUAGUUAUGUUGGGUUUUUUGUGAACCUGUUCGUUUCAGUUCGAUUAGGGGUUUCAGUGUCAGAACCAAAAACUGAACCAAACCACAGUAAAAACAGCAAAACAUGAUUUUUUUCAGUUUUUUUUUUUGUUUUUGGUUUGUUCGGUUUUCAGUUUUUUCGGUUCGAUUGGUCAAUUUUGUUCAGUCCGUAUCAGUUUUGAACACCCCUACCUCCCAGCACCUCCUCGCGGGUAGCAACAGCCAGCACUAGCCAACGCCACCAUCGCGGGCCCAGCACCAACCAGCACCACCCCCGCCACCACCCACAGCACCAUUUCUAGCCUCACGGAGAUAGCACUACCCAGCCACCCACAUAAUCGUUUCUGGCCUCGCCGAUAGCACCCAGCCACUGAGUCAAGUCAGAUAUGGAACCUCCAAAUCAGCUUAUUACCCAGCAAGGCUGCAGAAUGUGCAAGUUUCUGUAUCUUUUCGUAAUUGCGUUGCGCAAUCGCCUCUUUGUCGGAUAGAAGAACGGCUGAUGCUCCCCGCGAAAUAUAUUUCUUAAUAGAGUCAGCAAGCAAUUAGAGAUUAAGACGUUCAUUUUCAAUUUUUAUGAGAAUGAUCAACAACAACAAACUUCAAGAACUACCUAUUUUGAUUCCCUGAGAAGCAACCAUAGAGACAUGAGGAAAAGGCUUCUUGAGUGCGGCUGAUAUGUACUGAAAUCCUCCAAGUGAAGAAAUUGAUAAAUCUAUACCGCAUGGUAAAUUGUCGAUUAUAUGAAAUUUUGGAAAAUAUAACACACUUGAUGCUUGUGUUUAAUUGUAUUAAUACAAGAACAAGAAUGUACAAUGAAAACUAUCAUAUCAGCACAGAUCUAGAAAAAAAUUGGAGCUGGGAUUACGAGAUUAGUGCAGCGCUCCU